UACGUAGGGCGCAAGCGUUAUCCGGAAUUAUUGGGCGUAAAGCGCACGUAGGCGGCUUUGUAAGUUAGAGGUGAAAGCCCGGGGCUCAACUCCGGAAUUGCCUUUAAGACUGCAUCGCUCGAAUUGUGGAGAGGUAAGUGGAAUUCCGAGUGUAGAGGUGAAAUUCGUAGAUAUUCGGAAGAACACCAGUGGCGAAGGCGACUUACUGGACACAUAUUGACGCUGAGGUGCGAAAGCGUGGGGAGCAAACAGG
rnacentral:rRNA from 1 species